AUUGAACGCUGGCGGCAGGCCUAACACAUGCAAGUCGAGCGGUAGCACAGGGAGCUUGCUCCUGGGUGACGAGCGGCGGACGGGUGAGUAAUGUCUGGGAAACUGCCUGAUGGAGGGGGAUAACUACUGGAAACGGUAGCUAAUACCGCAUAACGUCGCAAGACCAAAGAGGGGGACCUUCGGGCCUCUUGCCAUCAGAUGUGCCCAGAUGGGAUUAGCUAGUAGGUGGGGUAACGGCUCACCUAGGCGACGAUCCCUAGCUGGUCUGAGAGGAUGACCAGCCACACUGGAACUGAGACACGGUCCAGACUCCUACGGGAGGCAGCAGUGGGGAAUAUUGCACAAUGGGCGCAAGCCUGAUGCAGCCAUGCGGCGUGUAUGAAGAAGGCCUUCGGGUUGUAAAGUACUUUCAGCGGGGAGGAAGGCGAUAAGGUUAAUAACCUUGUCGAUUGACGUUACCCGCAGAAGAAGCACCGGCUAACUCCGUGCCAGCCGCCGCGGUAA
rnacentral:rRNA from 1 species